rnacentral:rRNA from 1 species
UACGUAGGGGGCAAGCGUUGUCCGGAUUUAUUGGGCGUAAAGAGCGUGUAGGCGGCCAGAUAAGUCCGCUGUGAAAACUCGAGGCUCAACUUCGAGCUGUCGGCGGAAACUAUCUGGCUAGAGUCCGGAAGAGGAGAGUGGAAUUCCCUGUGUAGCGGUGAAAUGCGUAGAGAUGGGGGAGAACACUCGUGGCGAAGGCGGCCAGCUAGACCAGUUCUGACACUGAGGCGCGACAGCGUGGGGAGCAAACAGG